UGAUAGCGUAGAAGCGUGAGGUUGCUGCCCAUAGCCGGCAGGUUUUCCGUGGAGCGAAUGUCAAGUUAGGAAACUGGCGACAA
rnacentral:ncRNA from 1 species